AGUGAACGCUGGCGGCGUGCCUAAUACAUGCAAGUCGAACGGAGUGGCGCACGGGUGAGUAAUAUAUAGCUAAUCUGCCCCUUGCUGGAGGACAACAGUUAGAAAUGACUGCUAAUACUCCAUAGAAAGGGAUGAGACUAUAUCGUAUCAGCUAGUCGGUGGGGUAACGGCCUACCGAGGCGAUGACCCGUAACUGGUCUGAGAGGAUGAUCAGUCACAUUUGAACUUAGACACCGUUCAAACUCCUUCCGGAGGCAGCAGUAUGGAAUAAUGCCCAAUUGGGGAAACCCUUACGCAGCAACGCCGCGUGGAGGAUGACACUUUUCGGAGCGUAAACUCCUUUUGUUACGGAAGCGGUACCUAACGAAUAAGCACCGGCUAACUCCGUGCCAGCAGCCGCGGUAAUAC
rnacentral:rRNA from 1 species